CUGCAAAUGUUAGCUGACGUAUGUCGUCACGACGUGUCUCGUCAUUGGUUACAGCCUUCUGGGAGGAGCUUAGAGAGGCGGAGAAACGAACCAGAAAACAGAUUUAAACCAAGCUUUAAGCAUUGCAUCUGUUUGCCGCUGCCGUGAGUAUACCUCGUUACCGGAGAAGUCUGGAUGCUCAAACAAACUCUGGAGCUGCGUUUUUUGUUGAACACAAGUGAGACUGGACGCUGAACACAACUGCGGCGCGAAAGUUUACUGGUUCAGCUGCUGCAGCCUGGACAGAAACACCAGCUCCCACCUGACAAACCAAACAGGUGUCACCACUUCGUCCAUGAUUGCAGAGUCUUCACACAAUGAGGAAGUUCUUUGAGACCAGGACAGAGGCCUCCAGAGGCAUUCGCCGACUUGGCGAGGUGAACCAGAAGGAGGCGAACCAGAAGGAGGUGAACCAGAAGGAUUUUAUUGUUUUGGAGUUGUCAUGAUGAAAAUUCCUGCGGGACCCACAAUGGAUGUAUCUCUGACGAGGGAGGACAGCAAUGUCCGGGUGAUGGUGCAGCACUGGCGGUGGAGGUUCAAGCAGGUGACGGCAGAGGCUGUAUACCGAAAAAGCCCAGCCACAGGAUGAUGGCAGAACCACAGGAAGAUCCAGAUGAAUGCAGACCAGGUAUAAAACUUGCUGAUCCACAUAACGCCUGCAGCUGUGGGGUGGAACAGUAAGAGCCAGGUGGACGGCUAGGUGCAGUGUUCCAACAGGUAGGCUAAAGUUGUCCCGCUCACACACAAAACGAUCGUGUGAUUGUUACUUAUGCAAAGAAAAGUGGGUUCUUUGACUCAAACAGGAUGCAAUUACACCGUCCAUACAGGCAAUAAAACCAUAAAACAGGCAGUUAAAAGUUAAAAAGUAGAUUACCGGUGAGCAGGGGCAGCAAGUCAAGGGAGUGUUAUAUCACUGACGAUACUAUGACAUUUUUUGACAGUUUUCAACACCUUGCUAUACUAUGACAUUUUUAAACAUUUUUUGACACCUUGCUAUACUAUGACAUUUUUUUUUCACAUUUUUUGACACCUGACUAUACCAUGACAUUUUUUUUUACAUAUUUUCAUGUCUUACUAUACUGUGACAUUUUUUGAUAGUUUUCAAUGCCUCACUAUACUGACAUUUUUUCACAUUUUUUGAUGCCUUACUAUACUACGACAUUUUUCGACAUUUUGUGACGCCUUACUAUAUGACGACAUUUUUUGAUGAUUUUUGACGCCUCACUAUACUAUGAUAUUUUUUGGCCAUUUUUGGCCAUUUUUGACACCUUACUAUACUAUGACAUUUUUUGAUGAUUUUUGACACCUUAGUAUACUAUGACAUUUUUUGGUGGUUUUGUUGGUGGUUUUCGAUGCCUUACUAUAUUUUGGUAGUUUUUGGUGGUUUUUGACGCUUUACUAUACUAUGUCAUUUUUUGAUGUUUUUUGUCACCUUACUGUACUAUGUCAUUUUUUGAUGAUUUUUGUCACCUUACUGUACUAUGUCAUUUUUUGGUAGUUUUUGAUGCCUUAUCAUACUAUGUCAUUUUUUGAUGAAUUUUGUCACCUUACUACUUACUACUUAGUUUUUCAUGCCUUACUAUACUGUCAUUUUUUGAUGAUUUUUGACACCUUACUGUACUAUGACAUUUUUUGAUGCUUUACUAUGACAUUUUUCAACAUGUUUUGACGCCAUACUACUAUGACAUUUUUCAAACAUAUUGUUAUAUAUAUUGUUUAUAUCUUGUCUUGCUCUUAUCAUGCCUUUUUCUGUUUUUGAUGCUGCAACACUGAAUUUCAUCACAGUGGGACUGAUAAAGUAUUAUAUUACUCAAAUAAAUACUUCUGAAUGCAGAA